AGUGAACGCUGGCGGUAGGCCUAACACAUGCAGGUCGAACGGCAGCACAGUAAGAGCUUGCUCUUACGGGUGGCGAGUGGCGGACGGGUGAGGAAUACAUCGGAAUCUACUUUUUCGUGGGGGAUAACGUAGGGAAACUUACGCUAAUACCGCAUACGACCUACGGGUGAAAGCAGGGGAUCUUCGGACCUUGCGCGAUUGAAUGAGCCGAUGUCGGAUUAGCUAGUUGGCGGGGUAAAGGCCCACCAAGGCGACGAUCCGUAGCUGGUCUGAGAGGAUGAUCAGCCACACUGGAACUGAGACACGGUCCAGACUCCUACGGGAGGCAGCAGUGGGGAAUAUUGGACAAUGGGCGCAAGCCUGAUGCAGCCAUGCCGCGUGGGUGAAGAAGGCCUUCGGGUUGUAAAGCCCUUUUGUUGGGAAAGAAAAGCAGCAGGUUAAUACCCCGCUGUUCUGACGGUACCCAACGAAUAAGCACCGGCUAACUUCGUG
rnacentral:rRNA from 1 species